GGGGGCUGGAGAGAUGGCUCAGGGGUUAAG
rnacentral:piRNA from 1 species